rnacentral:rRNA from 1 species
GACGAACGCUGGCGGCGCACCUAAGACAUGCAAGUCGGACGGGGUCCCCCCUCGGGGGGGCCUAGUGGCGGACGGGUGAGUAACACGUGGGCAACCUGCCCUGGCGUGGGGGAUACCACCGGGAAACCGGUGUUAAGACCGCAUACGCCCCCCGGCCGGCGGGCGGGGGGGGAAAUGCCCUGGGGGGCAGCGCGAGGAGGGGCCCGCGGCGGAUUAGCUGGUUGGGGGGGUAACGGCCCACCAAGGCGACGAUCCGUAGCUGGUCUGAGAGGACGGC